AUAUACUUAUAAUGCGAAAUGCUCCGUGUUUAUAUAAUAUGGUACAAAAUUUUGAUUCAAAUUUUGUUUUCUUGUUUCUUAAAGUAUUUUAUAUAGAAUAAUUUAAACUUAAGCGUCUCAAGUAUGUUUGGUGAUACAGAUGUUAACGCAAGUUUAAUGGACGGGAAUAAGGUAAUCCCAAGGGUCCCUGAAGCCAGACCACUAAAAUAUAUUUGAAUAAAAUCUAAACACAAACUUGAAA